rnacentral:rRNA from 1 species
UAGGGAAUCUUGCGCAAUGGGCGAAAGCCUGACGCAGCAACGCCGCGUGGGGGAAGAAGGCUCUCGGGUCGUAAACCCCUUUCAGCAGGGACGAAAUUGACGGUACCUGCAGAAGAAGGGCCGGCCAACUACGUGCCAGCAGCCGCGGUAAUACGUAGGGCCCGAGCGUUGUCCGGAUUUAUUGGGCGUAAAGAGCUCGUAGGCGGUUCGGUAAGUCGGGUGUGAAAACUCAGGGCUCAACCCUGAGACGCCACUCGAUACUGCCAUGACUAGAGUCCGGUAGAGGAGCGUGGAAUUCCUGGUGUAGCGGUGAAAUGCGCAGAUAUCAGGAGGAACACCGAUAGCGAAGGCAGCGCUCUGGGCCGGUACUGACGCUGAGGAGCGAAAGCGUGGGGAGCAAACAGGAUUAGAUACCCCCGUAGUCC